rnacentral:rRNA from 1 species
GGGUUGUGAGGUUAAGCGACCAAGCGUACACGGUGGAUGCCCUGGCAGUCAGAGGCGAUGAAGGACGUGCUAAUCUGCGAUAAGCGCCGGUAAGGUGAUAUGAACCGUUAUAACCGGCGAUUUCCGAAUGGGGAAACCCAGUGUGAUUCGUCACACUAUCAUUAACUGAAUCCAUAGGUUAAUGAGGCGAACCGGGGGAACUGAAACAUCUAAGUACCCCGAGGAAAAGAAAUCAACCGAGAUUCCCCCAGUAGCGGCGAGCGAACGGGGAGGAGCCCAGAGCCUGAAUCAGCAUGUGUGUUAGUGGAAGCGUCUGGAAAGGCGCGCGAUACAGGGUGACAGCCCCGUACACAAAAGCGCAUAUGCUGUGAGCUCGAUGAGUAGGGCGGGACACGUGGUAUCCUGUCUGAAUAUGGGGGGACCAUCCUCCAAGGCUAAAUACUCCUGACUGACCGAUAGUGAACCAGUACCGUGAGGGAAAGGCGAAAAGAACCCCGGCGAGGGGAGUGAAACAGAACCUGAAACCGUGUACGUACAAGCAGUGGGAGCACAGGUUUACCUGUGUGACUGCGUACCUUUUGUAUAAUGGGUCAGCGACUUAUAUUCUGUAGCAAGGUUAACCGCAUAGGGGAGCCGAAGGGAAACCGAGUCUUAAUUGGGCGUUAAGUUGCAGGGUAUAGACCCGAAACCCGGUGAUCUAGCCAUGGGCAGGUUGAAGGUUGGGUAACACUAACUGGAGGACCGAACCGACUAAUGUUGAAAAAUUAGCGGAUGACCUGUGGCUGGGGGUGAAAGGCCAAUCAAACCGGGAGAUAGCUGGUUCUCCCCGAAAGCUAUUUAGGUAGCGCCUCGUGAACUCAUCUCCGGGGGUAGAGCACUGUUUCGGCUAGGGGGCCAUCCCGGCUUACCAACCCGAUGCAAACUGCGAAUACCGGAGAAUGUUAUCACGGGAGACACACGGCGGGUGCUAACGUCCGUCGUGAAGAGGGAAACAACCCAGACCGCCAGCUAAGGUCCCAAAGUCAUGGUUAAGUGGGAAACGAUGUGGGAAGGCCCAGACAGCCAGGAUGUUGGCUUAGAAGCAGCCAUCAUUUAAAGAAAGCGUAAUAGCUCACUGGUCGAGUCGGCCUGCGCGGAAGAUGUAACGGGGCUAAACCAUGCACCGAAGCUGCGGCAGCGACGCUUAUGCGUUGUUGGGUAGGGGAGCGUUCUGUAAGCCUGCGAAGGUGGCCUGUGAGGGUUGCUGGAGGUAUCAGAAGUGCGAAUGCUGACAUAAGUAACGAUAAAGCGGGUGAAAAGCCCGCUCGCCGGAAGACCAAGGGUUCCUGUCCAACGUUAAUCGGGGCAGGGUGAGUCGACCCCUAAGGCGAGGCCGAAAGGCGUAGUCGAUGGGAAACGGGUUAAUAUUCCCGUACUUGGUGUUACUGCGAAGGGGGGACGGAGAAGGCUAUGUUGGCCGGGCGACGGUUGUCCCGGUUUAAGCGUGUAGGCUGACUUUCCAGGCAAAUCCGGAGAGUCAAGGCUGAGGCGUGACGACGAGGCACCACGGUGCUGAAGCAACAAAUGCCCUGCUUCCAGGAAAAGCCUCUAAGCAUCAGGUAACAUCAAAUCGUACCCCAAACCGACACAGGUGGUCAGGUAGAGAAUACCAAGGCGCUUGAGAGAACUCGGGUGAAGGAACUAGGCAAAAUGGUGCCGUAACUUCGGGAGAAGGCACGCUGACACGUAGGUGAAGUGAUUUACUCAUGGAGCUGAAGUCAGUCGAAGAUACCAGCUGGCUGCAACUGUUUAUUAAAAACACAGCACUGUGCAAACACGAAAGUGGACGUAUACGGUGUGACGCCUGCCCGGUGCCGGAAGGUUAAUUGAUGGGGUCAGCGCAAGCGAAGCUCCUGAUCGAAGCCCCGGUAAACGGCGGCCGUAACUAUAACGGUCCUAAGGUAGCGAAAUUCCUUGUCGGGUAAGUUCCGACCUGCACGAAUGGCGUAAUGAUGGCCAGGCUGUCUCCACCCGAGACUCAGUGAAAUUGAACUCGCUGUGAAGAUGCAGUGUACCCGCGGCAAGACGGAAAGACCCCGUGAACCUUUACUAUAGCUUGACACUGAACAUUGAGCCUUGAUGUGUAGGAUAGGUGGGAGGCUUUGAAGCGUGGACGCCAGUCUGCGUGGAGCCGGCCUUGAAAUACCACCCUUUAAUGUUUGAUGUUCUAACGUGGACCCGUGAUCCGGGUUGCGGACAGUGUCUGGUGGGUAGUUUGACUGGGGCGGUCUCCUCCUAAAGAGUAACGGAGGAGCACGAAGGUUGGCUAAUCCUGGUCGGACAUCAGGAGGUUAGUGCAAUGGCAUAAGCCAGCUUGACUGCGAGCGUGACGGCGCGAGCAGGUGCGAAAGCAGGUCAUAGUGAUCCGGUGGUUCUGAAUGGAAGGGCCAUCGCUCAACGGAUAAAAGGUACUCCGGGGAUAACAGGCUGAUACCGCCCAAGAGUUCAUAUCGACGGCGGUGUUUGGCACCUCGAUGUCGGCUCAUCACAUCCUGGGGCUGAAGUAGGUCCCAAGGGUAUGGCUGUUCGCCAUUUAAAGUGGUACGCGAGCUGGGUUUAGAACGUCGUGAGACAGUUCGGUCCCUAUCUGCCGUGGGCGCUGGAGAACUGAGGGGGGCUGCUCCUAGUACGAGAGGACCGGAGUGGACGCAUCACUGGUGUUCGGGUUGUCAUGCCAAUGGCACUGCCCGGUAGCUAAAUGCGGAAGAGAUAAGUGCUGAAAGCAUCUAAGCACGAAACUUGCCCCGAGAUGAGUUCUCCCUGAGACUUAGAGUCUCCUGAAGGAACGUUGAAGACGACGACGUUGAUAGGCCGGGUGUGUAAGCGCAGCGAUGCGUUGAGCUAACCGGUACUAAUGAACCGUGAGGCUUAACCUUACAACGCCGAAGCUGUU